rnacentral:rRNA from 1 species
UCGGGAUAACACCUGGAAACAGAUGCUAAUACCGGAUAACAACAGAUGAUGCCUAUCAACUGUUUAAAAGAUGGUUCUGCUAUCACUCUUGGAUGGACCUGCGGUGCAUUAGCUAGUUGGUAGGGUAACGGCCUACCAAGGCGAUGAUGCAUAGCCGAGUUGAGAGACUGAUCGGCCACAUUGGGACUGAGACACGGCCCAAACUCCUACGGGAGGCAGCAGUC